CACAGAAGGAAAUCAACCAUCAGGCUCAUGCUGACAUACAUGUGCAUAUCUCUGGAACAACAGACCCGACCCCCCCUAGUAAUGGAACAGCCCAAGACCGAAAUGAAGGAAGUGAGCAACAUUGUGUUGAAUGAGAUGUUACUUGGUGUAACUGAAGGAGACGGAGGUGAUGAUGAUGACACCGGUUCACCACUCAUGACUGCAGAUUCUCGAGUCUAACAACGUGCCUUGAAGUUGAC